UCAAAUUAAAUAAAAGAAUUUAAAUCUUGAAUUGAUAAUUGAUAAUUUAUGAAUUGUUUGGAUUAAUAUUUAACGAAUCCAUGUUUGAGAGAUCUUUGUCAUUUUUUACAAUUCAUAAUUAAUUUUUAGAAAUUUUUAAGUUUUUAAAUUGUUAUUGAAAAUUUAAUUAAUUGUUAUUAAUUUGAAUAGUUAUAUCGAAUAAAAAUAAAUUUUUAAUACGUCAAAAAUUAAAAUCAAUGAUUUUUUAGAACGCGCACGUGCUUGUCGCUUAAUUAAAUUACAUGGAAAAACUAAUUUUAGCACUAAAGUCUAUCAUAUCUGUCAAAGUUAAGUGGAUAUUAUAAAGUGCACGGCUAUUUGAGCGAUCGUAAAGAUUUUAAUUCGUUGAACAAUCGUCCACACACACACACACACACACACGCGCGCGCGCGUCGUGAUACACGCGAGGUGGUGCGGAUGUGAGCGUCCCUGAAUCAGGAUUACGUCGAAGAGGCACGCGCAGUAGGCGAGUAACAUCGCUCCCGUUUAGAGGGUUGCGCAAUCGGGGAGCCUUAAUUAUGCGGAAUCUUCCAGCGUGCCCUGCGUUCGCUGCGUAAAUCCUGCCUUUCGAUCUUCUUUGUGCGCGUCGUCACCGCGUGCGCGCACGAGGAAGGGCACACGCUCAUCUGGAGCAUUACUAACGACGCUCUCUCACCUCUCGGGGUUUUUUUUUCUUCUUCUUUUGUGAAUACGCACGGCGAUCCCGCGUGUCCUUGAAAGAUCUCCGCGAAUGUAACGCAAGCGACGGGGUGUCAUCAUCCUCGUAAUAUUAAUAUGCCUGCGCCGGCGUGCACCGACAACCGUAACGAUAUGCUAAUGCCGCAACGCAUGUAGCUCGUUACGUCAAGCAGUUAGACGGCGUAAGACCCAAACGGCGGGUUAAUCCUUUCGCUUACGGCGGAUCCGAUUAUGGGCAUACUUUAUCUUCUCGUGUAACAUUAAAGUAAUAUAUAUUUAUAUAUAUGAAAGAUGCAUAUAUAGGCUGCUCGGUAGCAGACCCCAACAAGAAGGAAAGAUUCCGUGACUAUAUACCAUGCAACAUUAACGACAAUCAUCUUCAAAGACGGUUGGAGCUGACGGGGGGAUACCCGCGCUGGCACUUAAACUCAAGUGAGACUUUCCUAAGUGAUGCGUUUCACGCGUUGCUUGCUUUCUACGGAGAGCGAGGAAUGCCGCGCGGUGAUACAAUCUGAUUUAAAUUUGACGCUAUUUGCUCUUCUUACCUAUGAUUUCCUAACGGCGGAUAAUUCCGUUUCGCAAUGCAGCGCCGGCGGUCACGCAAUCUCUCCCUCAUCAGCGUCCUUACCACUGGCCGGGUCGCUGGAAUCCCACCACUGUGCGAAUAACGACGAGCUCAUGAUGAUUGUCGGUUCAUGCCAGAUGACUUGCAAAAAAACAACAGAUAAGUAGCUGUGUCAUUAAAAUCGAGGGAGUUUCCCGACGACUGCUUUGUUCCGAAAUUAUCAAAAGAUAGUUCCACUCGAAUUUACUUCCGGCGUGAACUUUCACACAUGAUCGUUUAACUUAUACUUAUAUAUGUGAAAUGAUAAUUCUUUAUUAAUGCGACAGAAAUGUAUCUUAGAUGUAAUAAAAAGAAAGGGAGAAAAAGAGGAAAGAAAAGCGGUCUUCUCAUUAAAUUAUUUAAUUAAUAAUUAAUUAAUAAUUAAUUUAACGUUUCAAGAUUUUUUUCGAGAUUUUUUUGAUAAUUUCCUUGAUUUUAUUCGACAUGUUAUUUAGGGAAUCAAUAUUUCAAGCAUUUCGCUGAGAUGAGUACCAUCAACAACGCAAAUUAUUCAGUAGUCGGGUAAUGACGGUACGAUAUAUUUACAUUUUAUAGAGAUAUUUUCGCGGAAAAUAAUAUCGGAACGAGAUGUAUGAAGUGCGGUUUCUAUAUAUUUAAUGUAUACACGUGGAAAAUCGAUUUAUGUUAAUUUCGAUGUUCCAUUUGCUUUAAUGUACCUGUUUAUAUGAUACAUGUAGACAGGUACGUUAAAGCAACGCCUUUUUUUGGUGUAAAGCUUUUUAUACGACUUGUUAACGUUUAACGUACAGAUUAUUAAAUCGUUAUGCUACGUUAAAUGUUAUUUGCCAGAUUUUUUAAAGAGUCACACAUGGCAAGCUGUAAUUUGCGAGCAACUGGCAUUACGGAAAAUCGCGCCAUGGUUCGCUGAGCGAAACGAUGCUCUCGGAGAUACAGAGUGUGUUACUAAAUUUUAUUGCAAAUAAAAAGUGCAGUUUAGCUAGGUGAAUGUGAAACAUAAUGAAAUUGGGCAACGUAAGAAGGAAAGAAAUAAACGCUGCUGUGUUAAUCGCACUGCAAAUACUACUACGUUUAUUUCCAUUUGCAAAAUAUUUUGCUUAAAUUAGAACAAUAGAUAUAUUCGUAUUUACUUUUAACAUUAUUUUCAUAUUACAUCAAUUAUUAAAGGCAAAUUAUAUCAAUUGUAAGAUGAAGUCUAUCUUUUAAUUAUUAUUAUUUAAGAUUUUGAUUCUUCUUUUUAUUUACGUCGAUAAUUCAGUUCUCUAAGCAUCGUAACAUACUCAUAUACUAUCUACUGCAGGCAUAAUAUCCAUUAAUGAUAAUAUAAGAUUUAUAAUUUUACAGCAAAAAUAAAAAUAAGUCAAUAAUUAAGAUACUGCAAAUAGUGAUAAUUAUAAAAAAUAUAAUAUUUGUAAUAAGUAAAAAACAGAUAUAUAUUAGAUUUUUCUGAAACAAGAAAAACAAAAGGUUAAAGCUUACUUAGACAAAUUUAACUAAAUGCAUAAAUAAUCAUUUAUAUAUAGUUUCUAUUUAUGCUUACUCUUUAACAUUUUUUAGAAUAAAAAACAUCUAUCUGCUGUUUCUCUGAUUUCUUGAUAUCAAGACUGAUUUCUUGUUUCCAACAGAUAUGCGCAAUGUAUUUAGAUAAAUCUAUGAAUAUAUCUAUUUUUGAGAUUUGUUAUAAAUAUUUAUUCUACUUUUUUAUAGCUAUUUUUUUAACACGCUUUUAUUAAGUACUUUUACAAUAAUAAAAUUUUUGUUUAAAUUGCUUUGUGCUUUUCAAAAUAUAACAUUUUUUAAACUUUUGUUUUGUCACAACACUUGUCAAAAGACACGCUUUCACUAUUUUGAUUUAUUACACAUAUCUAAGCGAGAUAAGGUAAAUUUCUUAAUUUGAUUGCUAAAUUACAAAUAAAGCUUUUAUAGAGCAAAAUUGCAUCUGCACAUAACGCGAUUGGUCAAUUAUGAAAAAACUUUUCUACAGUAAAAUCGAGUUGAGAUAGUGAAGAAGUUUGUUUAUGUUCUUUUGCGUGCGGUCAAGAGAGAAAGAAAGAGAGUUUAAUAUAUAUAUUACAGAAGUUUAUAAAAAUAAAGUUUAUAAAAAUAAAAUGAAAUAAACCAUACAGAAAGAAAUAACGUAUGAAAAUAGAAAAUAUAUUGUACAAAACUUACAUAUGCGUCCAUUUCAUUAUCAUAAUUAUUAUAUUAACAAUAUACAGUAAUGUCAUGAAAAA